CUCGGAGGAGGGCGGAAGCGACAUUGAUGGCUUGCCGGUGAUCAGAUCGGGAAGAAGAAGGGCUCAUUUGAGGAGCCAGUCGAUCUCUACCGCCGAGGACUCCAUGCGGAACCCCACUCGGAUCGAAAAGUUGCAUUGUGCGCAUGCGGCAGCUGGAGACCGCGAGCAGCCACGCGCGCAUGAUUGAUGCGUGGACCAACAGGGACGUCCGCAACGUUUGGUCCGACACCAGGAGGUGCGCAGCGAAGCCAGUGACGACCCUCUGAUGUCCACUGGGGCGGCCACCAUUCCUCUUUUGGGCCACGCUCUGUCCCUUGUCCUUUCGCUGACGCUACUGCAUUUGGCGUUGCUGCCCCCAAGGCGAGCCUCAGUGCAGGCCGCACCAUCAGCGCGCCAACGUCGCGAGUCCUUACUGGUCACGAAGAUCUGCAUGGGAUCGCAGAGAUUCACCAACACCGUCAACCUCCUGCUGUCGUUCGGGCGGCGGGUGCUGGCCCAGCCCAGGCCGCUGGACGUCGGAGGAAACUUCGGUCUCAACUUGACGCUACGCGGACUCGACACGCUGUCACUGCGGGGCACGGCAGAGACGUUUUGCGACGACAACGUCGCGCAGGCGUGGCUUCCGCUCAGGUUGUCGCCAACCAUCGUGCUCACUCUGAUUUCCCCGCUGCCGUACCUUCCUUACGUCCAGAAGGACAUCUCGGGCACGCUGAGCGGACUCGAAGCCAACGUGGGUUUGCGAGUGGACAGGAACGACCCCAACGGUCGUCUCGUGAUCGCGUCGCUCGAAGUCGUGAACGUGGACGCUAUCGACGUGGAGCUGAGCUCGUUCGCGGCCUUUUCCGGCACGCCACUCACCUCGUUCUUUCAACUGCCCGGCAUGACGAGAAAGAUCGCGCUGCUGGCGCCCGUAGUUCGAGCCGCAUUGCAGAUGUUCAUCGACCGCGGCGGGUUUAGUCUGUAAAUACGUGAACGCCUUCGUACAACCAGCAACGAAAGCAGUGCCGUAAUGAAACAGCAGGAAACUUUGAUUUCCGUUGUGAAGCAGCGUGGCAGCUUCGCUAUAAGAGGUCAAAAACACCUAUUGGGCACUCGCCUUCCGUAUUAAACAUGCACUUGACUGGAGAACCGUUUAAGUACAAACGCUUAUACUCUUCUCCCGAAAUAAUUUAGUGGAUACGUUCAACUUGGAACAUUAGCAGCCUUAGGAUGUGUUCCGAUCGCAGGCGUACCAGGUUUGUCAGCAAGUCUUGACAUGUGCGACGUUUCCGUGGUCAACGGGAAUGUGAGGGACUGCAGCAAUAUUUCUUAUAUAUAGCUUAUUCAAUUUGUGAGAGCAUAAUUUAUGCAGCUGCCAAGGAUAUAUGGGUAUAGUCGUGAACGAAAGCCUGAUGACCACAGACUUUGGGGAAAGAAAUAUAUCGCAGUCUAGUCAUGCAGACGGAAGAGAAGUGGGGCUGCCUACGUCAUCGUCGUCGAUCCAAUGCAUUGCACUGACAGAGUUCUACAACUACGCUGUCUGCGUUCGCUGCGCUGUUUACACAGUGUUCUUUUCGCUGAUAAAAACCAGCAACCAACGGUAUUUUAGUACGUUGUCGUGAGUACAUUUUACGAAGGAAACAUAUUGAUUCAUGGGGUUUAACGCUCCAAAGCAACACUGGAGCUAUGAGAGACGCCGUAGUGUAGGCGCCCGGAUUAAUUGUUAGUCAAAAGGGGUUCUUUAAUGUACAGAUAAAUGUAAGUACGCGAGCUUUCUUGCAUUUCGCCGUUAUCAAUAUGCGGCCGCCGCGACCGGGAUCGAACCCGUUACCUCGUGCUCAGUAGUAGAACUCCAAAGCCACCGCGUUACCUCGGCAGAUUUUUCAAAUAAAGAAUUAAAUUAUUACACAACGUUGUACGUGUGAACUUUCCUUCAUAUACAGUGCCCCUGAGCGCUGCGGUCUCGUCCCCAGUAAGUAAGCCAAAUCCACAUGAAAGGUAGUAAACCCACGUGAAGCUUGUAACAAUUACCCCUUCCACCUACACGUAGGCGGCCACGUCCGAGGGAUCGUCGUCAUUACACUCAAAUCAAGUCCGCUGCAAGACUAACACGCGUAAGACAGCGUUCGAGCCUAUAUUAUUUUACGGACAUUUGACAUGGUCAAACUGAUGUGGAGUAGUUGCAACAUUCGCCUGAGAAAUAGCUUCGAUUCCUUUACGAUUCUUCGUAAAACAGUAUGAAAGCUCAAGCCGUCAAGGAUGACAAAUGACGUUUCACUAUAACAGUAAGUCCGCAAUAACAUAAUCGAUUUAGAGACCCUCGUUAAUGCCCGUAACAUAGACAGGCGCACCUGGAUUUUAAAUACGAACGGCAUGCAAUAAUAUGCCCAUAAAUCAUUUGCACGGUCGAUAUUGGUUACUAACCCAAUUUCUAAGAGUAUAUGUGUUCCUGAAAGAGCCAACUCAGGUUUUUAUAUCGAGUGAUAGCGUCGGAUAAAAAAAUGAAAAUCAAGGUUGCUAGCUCCCAGGAGUGAACAUCCGAGGCUGAUAAUGAAAUAUGAAUACAUCCGGAACAAUUUCCUCCGUGUACGGAAACCAUACAUAACUUUAUACAUCUGCGCAUGUCUAGUAAAAACCCCGCCAGAGUCAAUAGACCAUAACUAAAUGGGAGCGACUUGCUUUCUUUAAUUCUUUUCAGGAAUGAACGUUCCUCACUUGCUAUUCUAUUUUUUCCGUGUUUCCGCAUCAAUGAUGUGGAAGCGGCUCGCUGCCUGUGCUUAACGACCGUGGCCAUGAGGCCCGUUCCGAGAAUUGACGAUGGUUGUUCCUGAAGCCCAGGGAUUGUUUGCGCAGGCUGAUUUUUUUUUUUUUUCCAUUGUGCCACGGCAGAUAAGAAAGUUGCAUGUUCCUUGCCUGGUUGCUGGAUGUGGGGAUGGCGAUGCAAUUCGCUAGUAGGGAGAAAACAAAAAGAUGAAGUUCCACUCCAGAUAAUUAAUCAAGUAACGAUCGAAAUGGCAUGGCCCGAUGACGAGGAGUACGACGAAAGCGGCACGAGGACAAUAAUAACGAUGACCAUGGAUUUGAUGGCACGACGAGGGUCGACGCUUGACACAUCGUGGACGAAUCCUGAACCUAGGGCAGAGACAAACACCGUCUUACUUUGAGACGACUUCGUAUGCUCAGGCGCUCUCCUCAGAUGCGGGGGCGGCGUUCUGCAACAGCCGCCGCGCGUUGUCCGGCGCGUGCCCUGACCUUGGCACUAUUGUUGACACUGCUGCACUUGGUCCUCCUGCUGCCGAUACAGGCCGCUGCUCAAGAGGAGGACAUCGCGACGACGACGACGACAAAGAGACCGACGGCUUCGAAGCCUCGCGAGAAAGGGCUUGCCAAGCACAUCUGCAAGGGCACGCAGAAGUUCACCAACACCAUCAACCUGCUGCUGACGUUCGGCAAGCGCGUGUUGGAGGACCCGAGGCCGCUCAAGAUCGGCCAGGAGCUGGGCAUGAACGUGACGCUCAACGGGCUUGACACGCUGUCGCUGCGCGGAACCCCGCAGACUUUCUGCAACGAGAGCGUCGCCGAAGCGCUGCUACCGCUCAGGCUGUCGCCUUCGAUCGUGCUGCACCGCAGGCGCUCCAUCCUGUUCGGUGCUAACAGCGACAGGAACGUCUCCUACACGCUCAGCGGACUCGAGAUGGACGUCGGAGUGCGAGUAAACAGGAACGACCCGAACCGACACGUGGAGAUCACGUCGCUAGAUAUCGUGUACGUAGACGCGGUCGAGAUCGAGGUGAAAACGUUCGCGCCCAUCUCGGGCAGGCCAGUCACCAUGUUCUUCGAGCGGCCACCCACCGCCGUUAAGCUAGCUAUACUUAGGCCCAUCAUUCAGGCCGGGUUGCAGAGGAUGAUAGACAGCGGAGGCUUUAAGUUAUCGUCGUAAUAAAAUGUUGCUUUGUUUGUCGUGUUA